AACUUUGGUCUUUGAAAGACUCAGGGCAAGUUGAAGCCCUUGUUGGCCCAUAUAAAUUGUAUGACACAUCUUUUAGAACACUCUGUGGACAUGGCUGGCUGUCAGAUGAAGUUAUAGAUGCAUAUUUGUAUGUGACACUUCAGAAGACCAAGAUACCUGUAUACAGAAUGGAUGCAGUAAUUGCAUCUUCUGUAUUUCAUCUUGGGCAAUAUCGGGCUGUUCAAAAGAUGGUUUUACCUGAAGACUCCAUUUGGAUGUGCCCUGA